GCAUUAGGUGACUCUGAGCAAUCAUUGGGUUAGAUCUGCUCUCUUCGCAAGAAGAGGGUUUCCAUACACACCGUGAACUGUGGCUUCGGCCAUCACAAACUGUUAGUAAUGAAUGUAAUAUCAUAACAAAAACAAAACUUUUAACAACGGAUCUCUUGGCUCUCGCAUCGAUGAAGAACGCAGCGAAAUGCGAUAAGUAAUGUGAAUUGCAGAAUUCAGUGAAUCAUCGAAUCUUUGAACGCACCUUGCGCCCUUUGGUAUUCCGAAGGGCAUGCCUGUUUGAGUGUCAUGAAACCUCACCCCACUUGGGUUUUUGCCUGAGCGGUGGUGUAUUGGGUGUUGCCUUGCUAAAGGCUCGCCUUAAAGACAUAAGCACCUUGGAUGUAAUACGUUUCAUCCUUCUGGGUGGCUGAUAACCCCACAUAUUCAUGAUCUGGCCUCAAAUCAGGUAGGGCUACCCGCUGAACUUAAGCAUAUCAAAGCGGGGAGGGGAAUAGGUUCUUUAAUAGUGGCCCUCUGAUGCCAAUCAUUGGGUUUAGAUCUGCUCUCUUCGCAAGAAAGAAGGUUUUCAUACACACCGUGAACUGUGGGUUCGGCAUCACAAACUGUUUAGUAAUGAAUGUAAUAAUCAUAACAAAAACAAAACUUUUAACAACGGAUCUCUUGGCUCUCGCAUCGAUGAAGAACGCAACGAAAUGCGAUAAGUAAUGUGAAAUUGCAGAAAUUCGUGAAAUCAUGAAUCUUUGAACGCACUUGCGCCUCUUGGUAUUCGAAGGGCAUGCUGUUUGAGUGUCAUGAAACUCACCACUUGGGGUUUUUGCUGAGCGUGGUGUAUUGGGUGUUGCUUGCUAAAGGCUGCUUCAAGAAUAAGACUUCGGAUGUAAUACGUUUCAUCUUCUGGGUGGCUGAUAACCACAUAUUCAUGAUCUGGCUCAAUCAGGAGGGCUACGGUGAACUAAGCAUAUCAUAAAGCGGAGGAA
rnacentral:rRNA from 1 species